rnacentral:tRNA from 1 species
CGCCGCGUACGCCGUGGCGGGCGGGCUGGCGCUCGCGCUGCCCGCGGUCGCGUCCGGUCGCACGGCCCGCGGUACGGCGUCCACCGGGGCGCCCA